rfam:Naegleria gruberi genomic scaffold NAEGRscaffold_93, whole genome shotgun sequence.
GGCUACGACCAUAUCACGAUGAACGCACCUCAUCCCGUCCGAUUUGAGAAGUUAAGCAUCGUCGAGCCACAUCAGUACUGAGGUUGGAGACAACUUGGGAACAUGUGGUGCUGUAGUCU